GUAAGUGUCUAAGGGCGCAUGGUGGAUGCCUUGGCAUCGAGAGCCGAUGAAGGACGUGGGAGGCUGCGAUAUGCCUCGGGGAGCUGUCAACCGAGCGUGGAUCCGAGGAUUUCCGAAUGGGGAAACCCAGCACGAGUGAUGUCGUGCUACCCGCAUCUGAAUAUAUAGGGUGCGGGAGGGAACGCGGGGAAGUGAAACAUCUCAGUACCCGUAGGAGGAGAAAACAAUUGUGAUUCCGCAAGUAGUGGCGAGCGAACGCGGAACAGGCUAAACCGCACGCAUGGGUAACCGGGUAGGGGUUGUGUGUGCGGGGUUGUGGGAGGAUAUGUCUCAGCGCUACCCGGCUGAGAGGCAGUCAGAAAGUGUCGUGGUUAGCGGAAGUGGCCUGGGAUGGUCUGCCGUAGACGGUGAGAGCCCGGUACGCGAAAACCCGGCACCUGCCUAGUAUCAAUUCCCGAGUAGCAGCGGGCCCGUGGAAUCCGCUGUGAAUCCGCCGGGACCACCCGGUAAGCCUAAAUACUCCUCGAUGACCGAUAGCGGAUUAGUACCGUGAGGGAAUGGUGAAAAGUACCCCGGGAGGGGAGUGAAAGAGUACCUGAAACCGUGUGCCUACAAUCCGUCAGAGCCUCCUCGUGAGGUGAUGGCGUGCCUUUUGAAGAAUGAGCCUGCGAGUCAGGGACAUGUCGCAAGGUUAACCCGUGUGGGGUAGCCGCAGCGAAAGCGAGUCUGAAUAGGGCGUAUCCCCGUAAGGGGUGUAGUGGCGUGUUCUGGACCCGAAGCGGAGUGAUCUACCCAUGGCCAGGGUGAAGCGCGGGUAAGACCGCGUGGAGGCCCGAACCCACUUAGGUUGAAGACUGAGGGGAUGAGCUGUGGGUAGGGGUGAAAGGCCAAUCAAACUCCGUGAUAGCUGGUUCUCCCCGAAAUGCAUUUAGGUGCAGCGUUGCGUGGUUCACCGCGGAGGUAGAGCUACUGGAUGGCCGAUGGGCCCUACUAGGUUACUGACGUCAGCCAAACUCCGAAUGCCGUGGUGUAAAGCGUGGCAGUGAGACGGCGGGGGAUAAGCUCCGUACGUCGAAAGGGAAACAGCCCAGAUCGCCGGCUAAGGCCCCCAAGCGUGUGCUAAGUGGGAAAGGAUGUGCAGUCGCAAAGACAACCAGGAGGUUGGCUUAGAAGCAGCCACCCUUGAAAGAGUGCGUAAUAGCUCACUGGUCAAGUGAUUGUGCGCCGAUAAUGUAGCGGGGCUCAAGCACACCGCCGAAGCCGCGGCACAUCCACCUUGUGGUGGGUGUGGGUAGGGGAGCGUCCCUCAUUCAGCGAAGCCACCGGGUGACCGGUGGUGGAGGGUGGGGGAGUGAGAAUGCAGGCAUGAGUAGCGACAAGGCAAGUGAGAACCUUGCCCGCCGAAAGACCAAGGGUUCCUGGGCCAGGCCAGUCCGCCCAGGGUGAGUCGGGACCUAAGGCGAGGCCGACAGGCGUAGUCGAUGGACAACGGGUUGAUAUUCCCGUACCCGUGUGUGGGCGCCCAUGACGAAUCAGCGGUACUAACCACCCAAAACCGGAUCGAUCACUCCCCUUCGGGGGCGUGGAGUUCUGGGGCUGCGUGGGAACUUCGCUGGUAGUAGUCAAGCGAAGGGGUGACGCAGGAAGGUAGCCGUACCAGUCAGUGGUAACACUGGGGCAAGCCGGUAGGGAGAGCGAUAGGCAAAUCCGUCGCUCACUAAUCCUGAGAGGUGACGCAUAGCCGGUUGAGGCGAAUUCGGUGAUCCUCUGCUGCCAAGAAAAGCCUCUAGCGAGCACACACACGGCCCGUACCCCAAACCGACACAGGUGGUCAGGUAGAGCAUACCAAGGCGUACGAGAUAACUAUGGUUAAGGAACUCGGCAAAAUGCCCCCGUAACUUCGGGAGAAGGGGGACCGGAAUAUCGUGAACACCCUUGCGGUGGGAGCGGGAUCCGGUCGCAGAAACCAGCGAGGAGCGACUGUUUACUAAAAACACAGGUCCGUGCGAAGUCGCAAGACGAUGUAUACGGACUGACGCCUGCCCGGUGCUGGAAGGUUAAGAGGACCCGUUAACCCGCAAGGGUGAAGCGGAGAAUUUAAGCCCCAGUAAACGGCGGUGGUAACUAUAACCAUCCUAAGGUAGCGAAAUUCCUUGUCGGGUAAGUUCCGACCUGCACGAAUGGCGUAACGACUUCUCAACUGUCUCAACCAUAGACUCGGCGAAAUUGCACUACGAGUAAAGAUGCUCGUUACGCGCGGCAGGACGAAAAGACCCCGGGACCUUCACUACAACUUGGUAUUGAUGUUCGGUACGGUUUGUGUAGGAUAGGUGGGAGACUGUGAAACCUCGACGCCAGUUGGGGCGGAGUCGUUGUUGAAAUACCACUCUGAUCGUAUUGGGCAUCUAACCUCGAACCCUGAAUCGGGUUUAGGGACAGUGCCUGGCGGGUAGUUUAACUGGGGCGGUUGCCUCCUAAAAUGUAACGGAGGCGCCCAAAGGUUCCCUCAACCUGGACGGCAAUCAGGUGGCGAGUGUAAAUGCACAAGGGAGCUUGACUGCGAGACUUACAAGUCAAGCAGGGACGAAAGUCGGGAUUAGUGAUCCGGCACCCCCGAGUGGAAGGGGUGUCGCUCAACGGAUAAAAGGUACCCCGGGGAUAACAGGCUGAUCUUCCCCAAGAGUCCAUAUCGACGGGAUGGUUUGGCACCUCGAUGUCGGCUCGUCGCAUCCUGGGGCUGGAGCAGGUCCCAAGGGUUGGGCUGUUCGCCCAUUAAAGCGGCACGCGAGCUGGGUUUAGAACGUCGUGAGACAGUUCGGUCUCUAUCCGCCGCGCGCGUCAGAAACUUGAGGAAACCUGUCCCUAGUACGAGAGGACCGGGACGGACGAACCUCUGGUGCACCAGUUGUCCCGCCAGGGGCACCGCUGGAUAGCCACGUUCGGUCAGGAUAACCGCUGAAAGCAUCUAAGCGGGAAACCUUCUCCAAGAUCAGGUUUCUCACCCACUUGGUGGGAUAAGGCCCCCCGCAGAACACGGGUUCAAUAGGUCAGACCUGGAAGCUCAGUAAUGGGUGUAGGGAACUGGUGCUAACCGGCCGAAAACUUACAACA
rnacentral:rRNA from 1 species